CCUACAGGAGGCUGCAGUCGAGAAUCAUUCACAAUGGGGGAAACCCUGAUGUUGCGACGCCGCGUGGGGGAAUGAAGUUCUUCGGAUUGUAAACCCUUGUCAUGUGGGAGCAAAUUAAAAAGAUAGUACCACAAUAGGAAGAGACGGCUAACUCUGUGCCAGCAGCCGCGGUAAUACAGAGGUCUCAAGCGUUGUUCGGAAUCACUGGGCGUAAAGCGUGCGUAGGCUGUUUGUUAAGUCGUGUGUGAAAGGCGCGGACUCAACCCGCGGACGGCCCAUGAAACUGCGAGACUAGAGUAAUGGAGGGGGAACCGGAAUUCUCGGUGUAGCAGUGAAAUGCGUAGAUAUAAGGAAGAACACCAGUGGCGAAGGCGAAUGACUGGACGGCAACUGACGGUGAGGCGCGAAAGCGUGGGGAGCAAACAGGAUUAGAUACCCGGGUAGUC
rnacentral:rRNA from 1 species